GACGAACGCUGGCGGCGUGCCUAAUACAUGCAAGUCGAGCGGAUGGAAGGAAGCUUGCUUCCUAAAGUCAGCGGCGGACGGGUGAGUAACACGUGGGCAACCUGCCCCUAAGAUCGGGAUAACUUCGGGAAACCGGAGCUAAUACCGGAUAUGAUUAUGUCUCACAUGAGACAUAAUGGAAAGACGGUUUCGGCUGUCACUCAGGGAUGGGCCCGCGGCGCAUUAGCUAGUUGGUGAGGUAACGGCUCACCAAGGCGACGAUGCGUAGCCGACCUGAGAGGGUGAUCGGCCACACUGGGACUGAGACACGGCCCAGACUCCUACGGGAGGCAGCAGUAGGGAAUCUUCCGCAAUGGACGAAAGUCUGACGGAGCAACGCCGCGUGAGUGAAGAAGGUUUUCGGACCGUAAAACUCUGUUGUUAGGGAAGAACAAGUACCAUAGUAACUGAUGGUACCUUGACGGUACCUAACCAGAAAGCCACGGCUAACUACGUGCCAGCCGCCGCCGUAA
rnacentral:rRNA from 1 species